AACCGAACCCUUCCGAUGGGGCUGUCGACUGCUAUAUAGGCAGAAAAGGAGAUUUUUACUGGUUUCUGCACCUUUGGUACUAGUCAAAUCAUACUUUUGACUGCACAUUCAACCAUUCAUCUUAAAAUUCAAAUCCUUACAACAAUAGUCCAACGGAUAUUUUAGUGGUUAACUCCUAUAAAACAUCAUGGGUUCACAACAUUCUAUAGGACUUGCCUUUCAUUGCGGUAGAUAUCAUCUAACCAUAUAACACUCCCGUAGCAAUCCUCCAU
rnacentral:misc_RNA from 1 species